GCUAAGGCGUGGCUGGGACCCCCAGGGCCAGGGCUAGGGAACCUCGCCCUGCACCAGCCCCAAUCAGACGCCGCUCCUCCAACUACCGCGCUUAUGCCACGGAGCCGCACGCCAAGAAAAAAUCUAAGAUCUCCGCCUCGAGAAAAUUGCAGCUGAAGACUCUGCUGCUGCAGAUUGCAAAGCAAGAGCUGGAGCGAGAGGCGGAGGAGCGGCGCGGAGAGAAGGGGCGCGCUCUGAGCACCCGCUGCCAGCCGCUGGAGUUGGCCGGGCUGGGCUUCGCGGAGCUGCAGGACUUGUGCCGACAGCUCCACGCCCGUGUGGACAAGGUGGAUGAAGAGAGAUACGACAUAGAGGCAAAAGUCACCAAGAACAUCACGGAGAUUGCAGAUCUGACUCAGAAGAUCUUUGACCUUCGAGGCAAGUUUAAGCGGCCCACCCUGCGGAGAGUGAGGAUCUCUGCAGAUGCCAUGAUGCAGG
rnacentral:lncRNA from 1 species